GCCUUUGAGCAAGGGGUGGCUUUUGUUGUUAAGAGCUUCAACAAAGAGAGGAUGAAGCAGAAUCUGCAGGUUUUGGAUUGGGAAUUAACACCGGAUGAUUACAUUAAGAUCAACAAAAUUCCUCAGCGAAGAUUACUACCUAAAUUGAAACUGAUAUCGCCUAAUGGACCCUUCAAGUCCUUGGAUGAUUUAUGGGAUGGGGAGAUUUAAUCAUGUAUAAAUUUGUUUAUCAGGCAUCAAGUAGAAGAGCAAGAGUAUGAAUUGCGUUGUUCAUGCCUGAAAUGAAUCUAAAUUAUUAUGCCAAUUUGCAUAUUCAUUUGGGUACUAUUCUCUCCCUACAAAAAGAUUCAAACAAAUCUUGUGAAUGAACUCAUUUUUUGAGUACAAGCAAUUUCUAACUCCUCUUAAUCUUCGUAAUUGGCUAAGCAUGAGGCACUAAUUAUCAGAAUUUUGAAUCGCAGAACAAACACCAUACGCAAUUAAAUUAAAUGCAGUUGAGUGAAGUCUCAAAAUACUUGCACCUUUGAACUUAUAGGAGAAAUAGAACAUAAAUGCAAAUCAUACCCAAGCCCCAACUUAACCUUCUUCCUCACACGAACCACAGUCGAACGUGGCAAAAGAGCAGAGAAGCAAAACCAUAUGGCUCCGGUGAGAAUAGUGUGUACAUGUGCAAUUCGAGCUUUCUGAGAAGAAAAAGCGGAAGCAGAGAAGCAGAAAACCCAGAGAAGAUGAGCAGAGCAAUUGUUGCUGCACAAAGCGGUAGUGUCAAAAUGCCCGACCGAGUUUG
rnacentral:lncRNA from 1 species